rnacentral:rRNA from 1 species
UACGUAGGGUCCGAGCGUUGUCCGGAAUUAUUGGGCGUAAAGGGCUCGUAGGCGGUCUGUUGCGUCGGGAGUGAAGAUCUACAGCUUAACUGUGAACUUGCUUUCGAUACGGGCAGACUAGAGGUAGGCAGGGGAGAGCGGAACUCCUGGUGUAGCGGUGGAAUGCGCAGAUAUCAGGAAGAACACCGGUGGCGAAGGCGGCGACCUGGUCCGUGACUGACGCUGAGGCGCGAAAGCUAGGGGAGCGAACAGG